GGUCAGCUGACACAUCCCUGCCAAUCUCCGGCAGAUCCUCCCUCCCAGACCCUCCUACUUCCUGGACAGCAUCCAUGUUGAAGGCAGCUUCAACAUAGAUUGUGUCCAGGAGUUGGGAGGGUCUGGGAGGGAGGGUCCGCCGGAGAUUGGCAGGGAUGUGUCAGCUG
rnacentral:miRNA from 1 species